UUUGUGCAGGGCACUGCAACUUGCAGAGCAUGCCUUGCCCAGCCCCAAGGUGGGAAUUAAGCUCUUUGCCUGAGAAGUGAUAUUAUCAGCUCUCCUCUCAGAGAAACCCCAUUGUGCCUGAAUAGAGCUGGAGCAAGUGGGGAUAGAGGCGAAGAGACCAUAAUGACUCCUUUCUGAAGCCACACAAAAGGCAGCUAGGACUUCAGCAGGAAACCUGAGGAGCUGAGAGGCAGCACUAAGGUCUCCGUGGAGAUGGGGUAUUUAUUCUUCUUCCCCUCAAUGGCCCUGGAGGGUUUGUGGAGUAGCCAGAGCAAGCAGUGAGCAAGUAACCGCCUGCCUGAUAAAGGCAGAAUUGAUAGUGGAAGUCACUGAGAUAAUGCACCAGUGUCAUAAUGUUGAUCGAUGGAUAUCUCCUCCGCACCCCUCAGCUCCAUCAACCAGACUUGCUCUCUCACAUGUCAGGAAUGAAAUACUUUGGCCCGGAAGAUGGAAUUUGGAAACUGUCCGCUCACAAGCUCUCAGCAAGAAGUCCGGUUUUAACCUGAAUUUAAGAAGGAGAAAGAAACAUCUCAUCAGAAACUGAUUCCAUUCCAUCUCGUUUUGACACCAGCAAAGGUUGAGAUCAUCUGGUGGAAGAUGCUAUGGACGAGUGAAGUUUCCACAUAUUGAAUUCCAUGGCCACGAGCCUUCCUGUCUUCCGUAUCCUGGCGGACUCAAAGUCUCCAAGAAAUUAGAGGAGACCUUUGCACUUACGCUUACAUGGCGGUGUCAGGUUGCCAAGGGCUUCGAAACGUCAUUUUCAUGGGAAGAUGUGACAGCACAUGGUGGACACAAAUCAUCUGAGGGGCAGAUUUCCCUGAAUUCUGGAAGCGUGUAUGAACAACAGCCAUCCAGUAGCUCAUUUUCUCUCUCCAUCUCGUUCUGAAGUUACGGUUCACCUAGAUGAGCAACUUCUAGAGCCUGGCUUUUGCACCUUGAGAAUGUCGCAAGGGAUGUACUAUUGUACUGCUAAUUAGGACAAGGGAAUUAGGAAAAGCUCUGAGGAAUGUGGUUUGGGCUUCGUUCUUCGUUCUGGAUGCAGAUUUCACCAUUGCUUGCACACUUCUGAGUCCAUGAGACCAUUUCUUCCCAAAGAGUCAGCCUGACUUCGGGAAUUUGAUCCCAGUGCCAACUUUCCUGACAUGGGAAGGUGAAGAUCACAGGUAGAGUGUUGUCUUCAGAGCAAGGAAAAUCUGAUAGGAAUAUCUCCUGGAAUCUGGGAAAGCUGCACCCUAUUUAAUUUUCUACAGCUGGUUCUGCUUUUUUGCUGUUGUUGCUUCUCACUGGGACCAGAACAUGUCAGGCUACGUGAUAUUUAUCAGCAAAAAGCAGAAGAUGAGCAGUUUCAAGAAAAUUCAAGGGGACAAAGAGCAACUACAGGCUUGUGAGCACUGCAUACUUAUGCUGACUAUCCAAAAAGGUGGAAUAAACCUUGCGUGUGCAGAUCCACAGAUUUUAACAAGGAAGAAACCACCAUAUCACCUAACAUCACCUCCUCCAGAGCAAUUUAUUUCUUACCUGUAUUACCAAGCAAAGACUGUUCUGCCUUGGCUAUCAAUUAAAAUGGAACUUUGGAGCAGGAGGCAGGGGAAUAUUAAGGCUUGUCAGUGCACAAUAUAAAUUAAUCACUGGGAAUGGUUUAUUGCUGGCAAAGAGCAGCAGACCAGUGUAGCCCCGAAUCAAAAGGAGGGAGAAUAACGUUCUUUUCCCAGUGAAAACAGCAAUUCUUCCUUAAAAUUUAGGGUUUGGUCAAAGUUCUGCUCUUAUUCUUUUUAUUUCAUGGAAAGCCAAUAGGUAAAAUACACACAACAUACUUGAAAAAACUACAUUUUAACUGAAGGCAGCUUCUUUGGUUAAGUCAGCUAAUAGGUCAGUUGGGAAAAUAGAAGCAAGGAGAGGACCACAGACACCUCUGGAGAAUGGAAGAAGGCGUAAAGGGUAUGGGUGAGUCCAACAGACUUCAGGUACAGCAGAGAAGAUAAAAUGCAGAAUGAGAAAAACUUCUAGAAAAUAAGAAGAACAAGAAAAUGAUUUCAGAGAGGCGAAGCUGUGGACAUUCAGAUGCUUUAGGUGCCUCUUGGGUUUGUUGGAAAUUGCUAUCUGUAACGACACAACCUGAACGUGAGGAAGGGGAAAGGAGAGGAGGUAGAUGAAAAUUGUCCCUGAAUACAGGGGAAAAAAAAGAGGAAAAAAAAGAGAAAAAAGAAUCAUUUUUGUUCCUAAAGUCUAGAAUUUUACUGAAAAAAAAUAGCACACGUUUUGGAAUCUACCAUUUUGUUGGGAUUUUUAAGGAUGAAAAGUAAACCUUUUGAUAAAAAUCUAUACAAAAAUCACCUUUUUGGUCCCAUAUCGAUCAUUUUCUGAGUGCCUAUCAUACAGGGAAGACCACUGUUCCCUGCUAGGUCAGACCAGUCAUCCAUUUCACAAGAGCAUCUGCUCACAGACAUGUUGACACUAAACACUUUAAAAGCAGCUGUGAAAACUUCUCACCAACAAAAUCAUAGCUGCACCUGUUUGUGGGGUACAUUCCCAAUUAUUCCUUUUCCCUCUCUCGACAAACUUUAGCCAAGUGUCGGUUUGGGGCUCCAAUAUAAAUUGUAUCCUGUGUUAUUCCAAAAUUGUUGCCUAAUUCCUUUGGUAUUUUAGCUCACAGUCAUUUCACUCUCCGUAUAGAUGAGUAAUUUUCUGUUAAUUCUUGAUGAGCUCUUCAGCCACGAAGUGGCCUUCAAGAACAGGAAGGAUUCCUCUAGACUGAGAACACAAUCUCAAAGCUGAGAAUAACACUCCAGCUCCUUCAGAUGAGAACACGGCCAUAAGAAUUGAGUAUUUUUGUUACAAAAGAAGAGGAAUCUCUUGGCCAAACUUGCAUAUAACAUGAAAUGAACCAACAGUAAACCCUAUCUGAGGUCUGAAAAAGUUUGAGUAACCUUCUUUUGCUCCAUAAUACUCAUUGUACCUCAACGCUUUUCAGCUCAGGCCAGCAUUGGGAGUAGAUGUGCCAAAAUUCUGGAAAAAGAAAAAACAAACAACAAACCCCCCACCCCCAAAAGAACCCUUCUCCUCUCCUGGAUAUUCCUGGACCAGCUGGAAGCUGGAAAUACUAGCAAUUUCACGGGGGAUGAAAAAUUACAGACCCAGGAGGUUAAACAAACAACACUCAGGUUCUUGUUUGGUUGGUUGUUUGCCAAAGCCCAGAAAUGAAUACAAUGGACGAGUUCAUCUUCCCAUUUUUUUUUCCAAACGAUUAUCUAAAUUAAAUCCCGUUAAAUUGCUCUUGUUCCUGGAAAUAUGCAGUUUUGCUCCUUAUUUUGUGUAAACAAGCAUGGAUCUGACUUGAAAGGUAAGACCUACAUUAUGGGCUGUGGUUGGGGUUAGGGUGGAUUGCUUGUCCAAGCCAUUUUUCUGGGGCCAUUAAGUGAAAAGGGGGUAUUUCUAAAACACAAGAUCUCUAAAUAGGUAAGGCCAGGUAGAGUAAGUCCUGCCUCUCCUAUCUGUAAUAUAAUUCCUAUCUGUAAUUGGAUGUUGCUAUGGAGGGCAGCUUCCUUGAUAGAGACAUUGCUGUUGGGCCUGGAAACUGUGACAUCUAGAGCAGAAAACUUGGCUCCGGAAAUCACUGGGAUCAAUCCCAGGUCAGGCAUGAAUGACAUGAAACUCAGUGCCAAACAUCUGACUUGUUCCCUUGAUGUACCCAUAAGACACAAAUGUGUUACCAGAGCAGACUACUGGACAUGGAAGCCACAGGAUCUGAUUAAAACCAGUCCAAAGUACUGCCCAUAAACAGAUAUGGUAUGGCCAUGAAGACCACAUACCAUCCAUUCAGUGCUGCAGAACUGGACCUAUGACUCUGUAGGAUGUGUUGGUUUAAAUACCAUCACUGUGUCUGCAGUUCCCAGGUUUUCCUACCACACAUGUUUUGCUGAAGUGAGAGGUCUGCUCUGGAGCAUCUGACUCCAGAUGGAAGAGGGCUAGGGCUCAGCAAGUUAAAAUUCACUGAGCAAUACCACUACUGAAAAUUGCCAUGCAAGCAAAUAAUAAAAUGGCGACAUGCAGUUAGGUAGAUGAAUAAAGACAUGAUACAGAGAGUAUAUUAUUAUGUGUGUGCAAGCUGGAAUGUAUGCACUGAGUUUCCAAAAACAGGGAGAGAUGGAUGGGACAGAGGGAAGACGUGAGCUUUUACCACUUCAGGACAGCAAAGUCAGGAGCUUUCACUGCAGGAUUUGUUCAGAUUCUUUAUUUAUACAUUGUCCCUAUUCUCUCCUCUGUCUACACGACCAAUAUCUCAUUCCUGAGCUUGGUGGCCCACUGGACCUGCUGUGUUCAUUUCGCUCAAGCAUCCCUCUGCAGACACACAGUAAUUUCUUUAAGUAAUUUCUUUACUUAAUUGAUCAAUUAACAAAUCAUUGAACUGAUUCUGAGGGCCACCUACCCUCAGAGAAGGACAUGCCAUUUGGGAAGAACAUAGCAAACAGGGCAGUGCACGGCAAUUGAAUGAGAUGACCUAUAAAGGUCCCUUCCAACUCAAAAGAUUCUCUGAUUCUAUGAUUCGAAGACCUUCUUGUGCCACAUUCAUGGGUUGAUGCAGGACAGCCCCUUCCCAAUGACAAGCCAUCCCACCUUGUGUUGUGUUCAAGAAACGUUUAGAUGUUGUACUAAGGGACAUGGUUUAGUGGGCAAAUAUUGGUGAUAGGUGAAUGGUUGGACUGGAUGAUCUUGGAGGUCUUUUCCAACCUUGGUGAUUCUAUGAUUCUGUGAUUCUAUAGCCUUUGCAGAGCACCACCGUCAUGGUGGCUGGGACAGGACUGGGGAAAGUGCUACUGAGCAUCCUGCUGCCUUUCACUCAUCCAAGACUUAUUCUGCUGGAAGCAAAAGGCCACUUUUUGCCCUAGAUCUGACCAUUCUCUAGUUGCGCUUCCCUUUGUCUCUACAGUUUUUUUCCUUAGUAUGGUUCCCUUUGUUAUUUUCCAUGCAUGUUUGUCCUCACCGUAAGGAACAGCACUGCCUCUCCCCUGCCCUGAAAUGGAAGCAAGUUGGACACUCUGUUCCCCAGAAAGCCCCGGGGGGCAGCGGGACAUUAUUUUAGUAUUGUUUACACUUCUGAUCAUCAGACCCAGCAAACGC